ACCACUGUGGGACAAGCCAACGUUAUCUCUCACUUGGAUUCUGCAGUAGCUCUCCACCUGGUUCUCCCUUUUUCUAUCCCACAUCCCCUCAUCUAUUCUCAACCCAGCAACCAGAAUGACAGAAUGAUCUUUUAACACAUACAUCAGACCAUACCACUUCUCUUUUCUAACUUUCCCAUCUCACUUGGAGUAGGAGCCAAUGCCUUCACCAUUGCCUGCAAAUCCCUCACAAUCUGCACCUUCCAUACAUUUCUGGCCUCUUCUAUUACUCUCUUCUGCUAACAUCCCUCGGCCACGUUGACCUCUUUGUUCUUCCUGGGUCAUAACACCACAGCUUUGCUUCUGGUCCUGGGCCUUUGCACUUACAGUAGCCUAUGCCUGGAACACCUUGAUAUCUUAACUCUUUCAGGUUUUUUCUUAAAUGUCACUUUCUCAGAGAAUUCUUCUUAAAUCUCCAUAUUUUAAAUUGCACCCCCCUUCAGCAAUCCUUAUCUUCUUUCCCUGCUUUUUAAUCACAACACUUACUAUCCACCAUCUGUGUUUUAAUAUAAUUUAUUUUCUCAUUUAUUAUAGCAUCUCUCCCUGUCCCCUGAGAUUUAAGCUGAGUGAAGGGCUUUCAGCAGUGAUUGAUUGAACUUCACAAGAGUCUAAUUAAUUCACCACAUUCCCCUGAACUUCUCAUGAGCUUAAGAAGCCUGGUCUCCCUCCUGGUGUUGCAGAAGUAGGAAAAUAACAUCAGAAAGAAUGGCUAAGGUUGGAAGAAUAUGUGACCUGGUGCCAUGUGAUGUCAGCCCAUGCUUUUCUAUCAUGACAUUCAGAUUUCUGAUUCUCAAGAAAUUUUCCUGCAUUAAGAAAAUUCAUGACAUAGUGCUUUGACUUUUCUAGCUUGCAGCAAAUUUUCCUUGGUUGAAUAUAAUCUUGAAGAUGCACAAUAAAAAAAAAAAACAACAGUCAUGAUGUUGGAGGUCAGUCCUGUUGAUAUCAGAAACAACUCAUGAUAACCACUUUUGGCCAGCUCUGAACUCAGUAAUAGACUCGUUGAGACUUUAGGAGACCAAGUAAGAAGUUAUGGUGGCUUGAACUAGGAUAAUGACAUUGGCAGUAAGAAAAGAAUAUGGGGUACAUAAUAUAUUUAGGAAAAGUGCUGAUGACUUGAAUGGUUAUGGGAAAUGAAUAGAGGAGAAAAUACGUUGGACAUGGGAUAGACAUUGGUGCCAUUUUCUCACAUGGGGAAGACCAAGGAAAUAAUGGGCUCAAGGAUGUGGGGAAAAUCGAGAGUUCUAUUUCUUUUGUGUUAAAUUUGAUGUGCACAGUGGACAUGUAAGUGUAAAUUUGAAAGUAGCAGCUGGAGGUACAAUUUGGGAGCUCAAGGCAUAAGUCUUGGAAGAAAGAGGAUUUUGUGAACACUACUCCAGCAAGCAUGUGUUCUCCAGCAUGCUAUAAUAUAUUAUGGGAGGCUGGGAGUGGUGGCUCAUGCCUGGAAUCCCAGUAAUUUGGGAGGCCAAGGAGGGCGGAUCACUUGAGGUCAGGAGUUUGAGAACAGCCUGGCCAGCAUGACGAAACCCCGUCUCUACUAAAAAUACAAAAAGAUUAUCUGGACAUGGUAUCAGGCACCUGUAAUCCAAGUUACUCAGGAGGCUGAGGCAGGAGAAUUGCUUGACCCCAGGAAGUGGAGGCUGCGGCACCACUGCACUCCAGGAGCUCAGGUGACAGAGAAAGACUUUAAAAUAAAUAAAUAAAAAUUUAAAAAUUAAAAAAAAACAUGAUACGGAACACAAAUAAGGUGAGAGAAAACUUUGAUAAAGGAAGAAAUAACAAGAAAAGCUAACCAAGAGAUUAAGAAAGAACCUGAGAACAAGAAGGAGAUAAUGGACGAAAGGGGACUAAGUGCUGAACACCUCUUGACUGAGCUUAUACAAUACGCGUGGCAUCGCGCUGCACACUUUUACACACAGUACCUUGUGAAAUGCUCACCAGAACAUGUAUUACUUCUGAGAAAACUAAGGAUCCUGGGGUUUUAAGUAACUUAUCUGAGUAUCCUAGCUAGUUCUGUACAUACCUAGUUAUGUACAGAGCCGAACAAAAUCUACCUGAUCCUAAAGCCUCCUUUUGAAAAUGUGCAUAAUUUUUACUUUUUGUGUACUUUUGUGAAAGUUAAAAAUCAUGUAUUCUAAGUGUUCAGAAUCUGUGUUCAGAAUGGAUAAAAUGUUUGUUCCUCCUUGCCAGUGAAAUAAUCUAAUUUGUUAACAAUGAACAAGAAACAAGACUUAAGAAAGAGUCAAGGUUUUUCUGGCUUGUAAGAUGCCUCUUCACGGAGCUCACCCACUGGAGGUCAUACCCUUGUGUCUGCAAAACACACAUCUUACUUGGAGGUAGAGGGGGGAAAGAAGAGUGAAAAGAAGACAGACAGUUCAAGAUAGGGACACUUGUUAAAAAUAUGAAGCAGGGAUAUUUGAGUUUCUUUAAUUAUCAUGUAUCAUCUCUAUAUACUGCAUUACUUAUUUCUUUUGGUUGUAGCUCCUAAAAACACUCCUUGUCCUUUCCUUGACUAUUUUCUAGCAGGCAUAUAGAUUAAAAUGGCUUUUCUACAAUUCUCUGCCAUUAAUUAUGGUUUACAUUCAGUUGCUUAAUCAUAACCUUUUGUUACCAUUCUCCAGCAGUAUUUC
rnacentral:lncRNA from 1 species